AUUGAACGCUGGCGGCAUGCCUAACACAUGCAAGUCGAACGGGGGUAGGGGCAACUCUACUUCAGUGGCGGACGGGUGAGGAAUGCGUCGGAAUCUACCCUAUGGUGGGGGAUAACACAGGGAAACUUGUGCUAAUACCGCAUGAUGUCGAGAGACCAAAGCAGGGGACCGCAAGGCCUUGCGCGAUAGGAUGAGCCGACGCCCGAUUAGCUAGUUGGUAGGGUAAAGGCCUACCAAGGCGACGAUCGGUAGCUGGUCUGAGAGGAUGAUCAGCCACACUGGGACUGAGACACGGCCCAGACUCCUACGGGAGGCAGCAGUGGGGAAUAUUGGACAAUGGGCGCAAGCCUGAUCCAGCAAUGCCGCGUGUGUGAAGAAGGCCUGCGGGUUGUAAAGCACUUUUGUUCGGGAAGAAAUCAUGCUGGUUAAUACCUGGUAUGGAUGACGGUACCGAAAGAAUAAGCACCGGCUAACUUCGUGCCAGC
rnacentral:rRNA from 1 species